rnacentral:rRNA from 1 species
AGAGCGAACGCUGGCGGCGUGCUUAACACAUGCAAGUCGAACGCGCAGCAUUCUGUAGCAAUACAGGGUGUGGGCGCGUGGCGAACGGGUGCGUAACACGUGGAUAACCUUCCUUCAGGUGGGAAUAACCCAGUGAAAAUUGGGCUAAUACCGCAUAACAAAACGAUGAGACAUCUUGUUGUUUUCAAAGGCGCAAGUCGCCAGAAGAGGGAUCCGCGGCCGAUUAGCUUGUUGGCGAGGUAAUGGCUCACCAAGGCAAUGAUCGGUAGCCGGACUGAGAGGUUGGCCGGCCACACUGGAACUGAGACACGGUCCAGACUCCUACGGGAGGCAGCAGUGGGGAAUCUUGCACAAUGGGCGAAAGCCUGAUGCAGCAACGCCGCGUGGGGAUGAAGCUUCUCGGAGUGUAACCCCUUUCGACCCGGAAGAAGCCCGCAAGGGUUGACGGUACGGGUAUAAGGAAGCCCCGGCUAACUACGCGCCAGCAGCCGCGGUAAU